rnacentral:rRNA from 1 species
AGAGUUUGAUCCUGGCUCAGGAUGAACGCUGGCGGCGUGCUUAACACAUGCAAGUCGAGCGAAGCAGUUAAGAAGAUUCUUCGGAUGAUUCUUAACUGACUGAGCGGCGGACGGGUGAGUAACGCGUGGGUGACCUGCCCCAUACCGGGGGAUAACAGCUGGAAACGGCUGCUAAUACCGCAUAAGCGCACAGAGCUGCAUGGCUCGGUGUGAAAAACUCCGGUGGUAUGGGAUGGGCCCGCGUCUGAUUAGGCAGUUGGCGGGGUGACGGCCCACCAAACCGACGAUCAGUAGCCGGCCUGAGAGGGCGACCGGCCACAUUGGGACUGAGACACGGCCCAAACUCCUACGGGAGGCAGCAGUGGGGAAUAUUGCACAAUGGGGGAAACCCUGAUGCAGCGACGCCGCGUGAGCGAAGAAGUAUUUCGGUAUGUAAAGCUCUAUCAGCAGGGAAGAUAAUGACGGUACCUGACUAAGAAGCCCCGGCUAACUACGUGCCAGCAGCCGCGGUAAUACGUAGGGGGCAAGCGUUAUCCGGAUUUACUGGGUGUAAAGGGAGCGUAGACGGCAAGGCAAGUCUGAUGUGAAAACCCAGGGCUUAACCCUGGGACUGCAUUGGAAACUGUCUGGCUCGAGUGCCGGAGAGGUAAGCGGAAUUCCUAGUGUAGCGGUGAAAUGCGUAGAUAUUAGGAAGAACACCAGUGGCGAAGGCGGCUUACUGGACGGUAACUGACGUUGAGGCUCGAAAGCGUGGGGAGCAAACAGGAUUAGAUACCCUGGUAGUCCACGCCGUAAACGAUG